GGGGGUUAGAGGAGGGUUAGAGGAGGGUUAGAGGAGAGUUAGAGGGGAGUUAGAGGAGAGUUAGAGGAGGGUUAGAGGAGAGUUAGAGGAGGGUUAAAGAGUUAGAGGAGGGUUAAAGAGUUAGAGGACGGUUAAAGAGUUAGAGGACGGUUAAAGAGUUAGAGGAGAGUUAAAGAGUUAGAGGAGGUUUAGAGGAGGGUUAGAGGAGAGUUAGAGGAGAGUUAGAGGAGGUUUAGAGGAGGGUUAGAGGAGAGUUAGAGGGGUUAGAGGAGGGUUGGAGGAGAGUUAGAGGAGAGUUAGAGGGGUUAGAGGAGGGUUGGAGGAGAGUUAGAGGAGAGUUAGAGGGGUUAGAGGAGGUUUAGAGGAGGGUUAAAGAGUUAGAGGAGGUUUAGAGGGGGGUUAGAGGAGAGUUAGAGGAGAGUUAGAGGAGAGUUAGAGGAGGUUUAGAGGGGGUUAUAGGAGGGUUAGAGGAGAGUUAGAGGAGAGUUAGAGGAGAGUUAGAGGAGGUUUAGAGGAGGGUUAGAGGAGGGUUAGAGGAGAGUUAGAGGGGUUAGAGGAGGGUUGGAGGAGAGUUAGAGGACGGUUAAAGAGUUAGAGGAGGUUUAGAGGAGGGUUAGAGGAGAGUUAGAGGAGAGUUAGAGGAGGGUUAGAGGAGGUUUAGAGGAGGGUUAGAGGAGAGUUAGAGGGGUUAAAGGAGGGUUGGAGGAGGGUUAAAG
ensembl:lncRNA